rnacentral:rRNA from 1 species
GACGAAGGGGGCUAGCGUUGUUCGGAAUUACUGGGCGUAAAGCGCGUGUAGGCGGUUGUUCAAGUCAGGUGUGAAAGCCUUGAGCUCAACUCAAGAAAUGCACUUGAUACUGGAUGACUAGAGGACCGGAGAGGAUAGUGGAAUUCCCAGUGUAGUGGUGAAAUACGUAGAGAUUGGGAAGAACACCAGUGGCGAAGGCGGCUAUCUGGACGGUUUCUGACGCUAAGACGCGAAGGCGUGGGGAGCAAACAGG